rnacentral:rRNA from 1 species
ACCCCAUUAUCCGCCAGAGAACUACAAGUGAAAAACUUCAAACUCAAAGGACUUGGCGGUGUCCCAUAUCGACCUAGAGGAGCCUGUCCUAUAAUCGAUACCCCCCGUUCUACCUAACCUCUACUAGCACCCUUCAGCCUAUAUACCGCCGUCGACAGUCUACCCCAUGAGGGUCUAAUAGUAGAUAUAAUAGCUUAAUCCGCUAAUACGUCAGGUCAAGGUGUAGCACAUGUUGAGGAAGAGAUUGGCUACUUUUUUUAUCCUAAAAAAUACAAAAUGCAACAUGAAACACUGCAUGAAGGUGAAUUUAGUAGUAAGAUCGAACAAGAGUGUUUAUCUUAACAACGCUCUGGGACGCGCACACACCGCCCG